UGUUUACUUGUUUCUUGUGUUUGAGCAGUGUUCAAUUGGCCGGCGGCAAUCGCUUCUCUCACAAUGUGGCUCAAGUAUCCUCUCUUGCCCAAUAUGAAAAAUGCAUCAAACAAGGAACGUCUUUUGGCCCAGGAGUAAGUUGAAUGACUACGAAUCAUUUGCAAAAUGGUUCUCGUUUCUUCAUCUAUACCGUUGACAACCACUGUGAACUGGGACAAAAGCUGAUUAUCACCGUUGGAUCACCAUCAAACACCUCCACUAUUCUUUCUCCACCUCCACCAGACAACUCAGCUGCUUCAUUUCUCACUUUUGAAGUUCUGUUUAUUAUCUGCUCCUCCAUGCUUGUUUCUUUCUUUAAUCACAUUUAAAUCAUAUUAUGUAUCAUGCAUUCUAUUCUCCUUUAUGCAAAACUAGCUUCCAAAAAUGGUGCUGACCAUAUGGAAAAGUCUCAGUCCAUAAUAAAAGCCACUUAAUCCAAAGGGGAAUUUGGCUCAAUGUCCUUCUUUCAUGGCCUCUAAUGAAAUAUACCCCUCAUUUCUUAGUUUUUUUUUUUCUCUACCCUCUGCUUUCCAUUUUAGCCCCAAUGAAAGUAAAAAAUUACUUUACUUUCCUUUCUCCAUUCCUUCAGUCCGAGAAACUCACAGUCUUUAGUUUCUGCACUCGGCUUUCUAUUUUUCUUCAUUCCCCAGAAAACCCACACAAAAUCUCAUUAAGAAAAAAAAAAAUCCAUGCUCCAUCUCCCUGCAUCUCUUACCUCUUCUCUUUCAAAUAUAUGAAAGACUAAGGAAAAAUUGCGUUUGAGGUGAGCGGUAGUUUUACAGAGGAGCUUCACUUGGAAAGUUUGCAGCAUCAAAUAGAAAGUGAUCUUAUGCCAAGUGCCUGAUGUGACCAAAGUGAUUCUUAUGGUAUCCUUUUAGUUAUAUGUUCUAUGGCGAAUUAUAUAAGUUAACUUCUUCUUUUUUUGUUUACAAUUAGUUAAUAUUUAAAAAAGAUGUUAUACCUGCUAUAUGGACCAUGAGGUAUACUAUCUAUGUUGUUUAGUUUGCCUUAAUUUCUUUCUGUUUAAUUUUCAGCCAAGGUUGGAAUUUCUUAGGCUUGGCUGGUGGAACAUUAUUAAUUUUCAAGUUGAUUACAAAUAUGCAGUUGGGGGUAGCAUAGGUGAACUGUCUUAUAUUUACUCCUAUUUUAUGAAUUUGAGGUUGGUUGCGGAGAUGUGGUAUUAGUUUGCUUGUGGUUUUGUAUUAUAGGCUAAUGGCACUCAAGACUUCCAUGAUAAACUGAUAUUUACAGAUUGAGAAACCCAUACUAUUGGUUACAAUUCCAAAAAUGUGCUUGAAAAUGCCUUAGGUCAGGUGCAUAUCGUUAUCCAUGUGCACUUGAUUAUGAGGUUGAUGUAGUGUCCCUCCUUAACAUAUGGAAGUUGUGGGUUUUUUUUUUUUUUUGGUCUAGAAGUAAUAAUCGUUGCCCCCACACCCUUUCUGUGAAUUUCAUGUAACAAUUGGUGUAUUACUAGAGUGGAUAUCAUGAUGGUCUCAUAGCAAGAGAAGAAGCUGUAGCACAAGAGGGAUUUAAUAUUGGCUUUAAGGAAUCAGUCCUUGUUGGGUACAAAUGGGGUCUAGUAGAAGUGAUACCAGGUAAAAGAAAACAAAAGAGGAAAAGAAUUUGAAUGCUCUGUUGCUUAUAGAGUUUUUAAUGAAAUUGCUAUAAGCAUAUGAUUAAAAAAGAAUUUAAAUUCUCUGUUGCUUAUAGAGUUUUUAAUGAAGUUGCUAUAAACAUGUGAUUAACUUCUUUUCUCUGCUACUUUUGUUUUCCUGUUUUGUCCAAUCUGCAUCCCUAUGAAUUGCCUUCACUUUAGUUCCUGAGGACUAGAAAGAGAGCAUUUAAAUUCUCAAUAUGGUAACCAAACUCUCAAAGACAUGAAUUGUAUGGUUGCUUUUCAUAAGGGUUUGACAACAUGGGCUAAGUGGGUGGAUUCUACUAUGAAUCAUAUGGCAAGGGAUUGGAAUGAGAUAGGGGUGACAAACUGUGGAAAUGAGACAAAACUCCUAAGUGGAUCAGUUAUCGAAGUGGAUUGCCCAAGGCAUUAUAUGUGGUGAAAGAUGUAUUAAUUGGAAUGAGAAAACAUGUUCAUCUGUUGGACAUAACAACUUUAUCACAACUCAGAAAAGAUGCACAUCCUGGCUUUUAUAAUGGCUUUAGGCGCAUGGACUGUAACCAUUGGUGUAUUGCUGGACUUCCAGAUACUUGGAAUCAACUUUUUAUGCAUUCCUCAUAAUUGUCAUGCUUGUUCUGGUAUUUUUAGUUUAUAAAAAUGAUCAUACGGUUGCUUAGGUCCUUCCUUCUAUAGAUCACCAUUUUUAAGGGAAUCAAGUUUCAAAACACGAACGAUCUUUUCAUUUUCAAUGUCAACCAGAUAUUGAGAGUUAAACAUCAUUAAUGAAACUCUACAAUCUUGCAUA